GUGGUGACCUCGAAGUGGUCGAUGUCGCCGCGGUUGAAGCCCGCGCCGCCCGCCGCGUAGAGGGGCUCGCGGUUCCACUUCGCGGCGCCGCCC
rnacentral:tRNA from 1 species